ACUACAUGUUCCUGAGUUGCUGGGUAGUUAGUUACCUGACAAGUGCUCAUGGAAGAGGCAAUUAUCUAAUUUCUCAAUCAUGGCUGGGAAGUCGCUAGGACACUGUUGUGAAGGACAUCUAGCCAGCUCUGCUCCCCUUGUGAAGCAUUGUCCCAUGCAGGCCAGACACCGCUGUUCCCAGAGAAGAAUGUGCCCUUAACAGAAGAGCUGGUCACUUGGGAAGAACUGCCUUUUGUAGUAGCUGACGGGACUGGAAGCAGAACCCCAAAGCAGCUGAUGAGUGUUGGCUGGUCUGCUCUGUCUUUGCUCAGUGUUUCUUCACUCCUGAUGCAGACUGCCCCAUAAGGCUUAGUCCUGACAGCACAGCGAGCAACAUCAACAGAGAGUGCUUCUGCUGCACCGUGAGGAACUCAGCAUCACCGACGCUCAGGUCCUGCAGUGCCUCUGCUCAUAGCAUGGGACAGAUAAAUGUGCUGGUGUGGUACUUACCCUGUCACCCUGUCACAACCACUACCUUAGCACUUCAGCCUCUCUGAAGAGCCCUUUCUCCCUGUUUAAUCCUGUGACCUUCCUGGUAGACGGGAGGCAGGUUCUUUAACAAGAGUUGAUUACAUCGCCAAAAGCCACUGUCCCACAAUUGAGAGAGCCCAGCCUUGGCCAUCUGCCCAUCCUGGUUCAGUGGCAAAGUGAAGGCAGCAAUUAGAGUUAAAAAAGCAAUAUAUGAGAAAUUGAAAAAGGGAGCUAGAUAGCAAUUUAUAUGAAUCAGAAGUUAUGAAGUGUAGAAAAUCGAUAAGGGAAGUGAAGGACAUUGGAGGAAAAUCCAUGGCUGGAAGGGCUAAGGACAAUAAAGAAGUUUUAUAAAUAUUUAAGAAAUAGAAGAAAAAUGACCAUUUGUAAGGGGGCUCUUUUCACCUGGAGAUGAUUAAACUAUUAAUAGCAGCACAGAGGAGACAGAAGUCCUCAGUAUUUCUGUCCUGUUUAGAAAAAAGAAGCAUUGUGUACCUGUGUUAUAUGAAGAUGAUGAAGACUUCUUAGCCCAUUGCUUAUGCAAGAAGAUGUUAGACACCUGUUAGGGACAAACUUUACAGAAAUCAGCAGAGCUGGGUAACUUGGCUUUAAGAGUUCUAAAAUUGCUGGCUGAGGCCCACCUGGGGCAGAUUAAUGAUUAACAAGUCUUGGUAUUUUUGAGAAAUUCAAGAUGACUGGAGAAGUUCUAAUGAUGCGGAUAUUUUCCUAGGUCUUAUCUGAUAAUUUCCAUGCUAGCCUGAUGUGAACCAGAGCAAAAUAAAGAAAGAAAGCGAUGUUCAAUUAAGACUUAUAAGAUGGUAUUACAACUACUGCCAGUCAGCAUGAUACUUUGGAAUAGAGGGCUUGCUUGUCAAACAAACCUGAUUUCACUCUCUGAUGAGAUUACAAGUUUGGUUGAUAAAGUUAACUGCACAGAUAUAAUAGACUUAGGCUUUUAUAAGGCACUUGGCUUAGCACCACAGGACAUUCUCAUUAAAAAAAUUAGCACUAUGCAAUACCAAUAAAGCACACUUUCAAUUGAUUAGUAACUGGCUAGAUGACAGAUCUCAAAGUAGCUAUCAGUGGUGAAUCAUCCCUGAAGGAGGAGUUUUCUAGUGGAAAUCCACAGGGAUCAGUAAAAAAACAGAUGCUAUUCAACAUUUUUUUUAUUAAUGAGCUGUAAGUAACUUUUUUUUUCCUUUUGAAUUGCUGCUGCUAAGAAGUAUGGAUGGCAAAAAGGAACAGAAGGGUGUAAAGUGGUGAGGAUAGGGCAGCCUCACAGCAUUGUGGACCACUUGCUUACACUUGAAGUAAUAGCCAAGGAAUGCAACUAUGGAACAGGAACUUUAUCGUGUCAAGAUGUCAGGUGUAAAAAGACUUGGGAUCACAGGGCACAGCUCAACAAAGACCAGCAUCUGGAGGCUGAACUCAAACAAACUGAUGUUAAAGGUA